rnacentral:rRNA from 1 species
GGGGAAUCUUCCGCAAUGGGCGAAAGCCUGACGGAGCAACGCCGCGUGAGUGAAGACGGCCUUCGGGUUGUAAAGCUCUGUUAUACGGGACGAAAAGUCUUGUGGUUAAUACCCAUAAGAAGUGACGGUACCGUAAGAGAAAGCCACGGCUAACUACGUGCCAGCAGCCGCGGUAAUACGUAGGUGGCAAGCGUUGUCCGGAAUUAUUGGGCGUAAAGGGCGCGCAGGCGGCUUCUUAAGUCUGUCUUAAAAGUGCGGGGCUUAACCCCGUGAUGGGAUGGAAACUGGGAAGCUCAGAGUAUAGGAGAGGAAAGCGGAAUUCCUAGUGUAGCGGUGAAAUGCGUAGAUAUUAGGAGGAACACCAGUGGCGAAAGCGGCUUUCUGGACGAAAACUGACGCUGAGGCGCGAAAGCCAGGGGAGCGAACGGGAUUAGAUACCCCGGUAGUCCUGGCCGUAAACGAUGGGUACUAGGUGUAGGAGGUAUCGACCCCUUCUGUGCCGGAGUUAACGCAAUAAGUACCCCGCCUGGGGAGUACGACCGCAAGGUUG